UCUGCGACAAUCUUGGCCUCGUCG
rnacentral:miRNA from 1 species